UACGUAGGCAGCAAGCGUUGUCCGGAUUUAUUGGGCGUAAAGAGCGUGUAGGCGGCCAUGUAGGUCCGUUGUGAAAACUCGAGGCUCAACCUCCGAGACGCCGAUGGAAACCAUGUGGCUAGAGUCCGGAAGAGGAGAGUGGAAUUCCGUGGUGUAGCGGUGAAAUGCGCAGAUAUCAGGAAGAACACCCGUGGCUAAGGCGGCUCUCUAGUACGGUACUGACGCUGAGACGCGAAAGCGUGGGGAGCGAACAGG
rnacentral:rRNA from 1 species